rnacentral:rRNA from 1 species
UACGUAGGGUGCGAGCGUUAAUCGGAAUUACUGGGCGUAAAGCGAGCGCAGACGGUUAGAUAAGUCAGAUGUGAAAUCCCCGAGCUCAACUUGGGACGUGCAUUUGAAACUGUCUAACUAGAGUGUGUCAGAGGGAGGUAGAAUUCCACGUGUAGCAGUGAAAUGCGUAGAGAUGUGGAGGAAUACCGAUGGCGAAGGCAGCCUCCUGGGAUAACACUGACGUUCAUGCUCGAAAGCGUGGGUAGCAAACAGG